UUGAACGCUGGCGGCAGGCCUAACCCCUGCAAGUCGAGCGGAUGAAGGGAGCUUGCUCCUGGAUUCAGCGGCGGACGGGUGAGUAAUGCCUAGGAAUCUGCCUGGUAGUAGGGGAUAACGUCCGGAAACGGGCGCUAAUACCGCAUACGUCCUGAGGGAGAAAGUGGGGGAUCUUCGGACCUCACGCUAUCAGAUGAGCCUAGGUCGGAUUAGCUAGUUGGUGGGGUAAAGGCCUACCAAGGCGACGAUCCGUAACUGGUCUGAGAGGAUGAUCAGUCACACUGGAACUGAGACACGGUCCAGACUCCUACGGGAGGCAGCAGUGGGGAAUAUUGGACAAUGGGCGAAAGCCUGAUCCAGCCAUGCCGCGUGUGUGAAGAAGGUCUUCGGAUUGUAAAGCACUUUAAGUUGGGAGGAAGGGCAGUAAGUUAAUACCUUGCUGUUUUGACGUUACCAACAGAAUAAGCACCGGCUAACUUCGUG
rnacentral:rRNA from 1 species